GUGUUACAUGAAAGGAAAGUUAGCACUCCCCUUGAAAAGGUGCAAGAGGUUCUUUGGCCUAACAACAUGCAUAUGGUUAAGGCAUUACCACCUAAUUCGUGGCAGGUAAUCAUCAUGUUUA